UACGAAGGGGGCUAGCGUUGUUCGGAAUCACUGGGCGUAAAGCGCACGUAGGCGGAUUGCUAAGUCAGGGGUGAAAUCCUGGAGCUCAACUCCAGAACUGCCUUUGAUACUGAGGAUCUUGAGUCCGGGAGAGGUGAGUGGAACUGCGAGUGUAGAGGUGAAAUUCGUAGAUAUUCGCAAGAACACCAGUGGCGAAGGAGGCUCACUGGCCCGGUACUGACGCUGAGGUGCGAAAGCGUGGGGAGCAAACAGG
rnacentral:rRNA from 1 species